rnacentral:lncRNA from 1 species
GACAUACGGUGGUGGAGGAGAUUUGUACUCUACUUUAGGAGAUGGUGAGUAGUAUGGUGGUGGUGGAGAACUGUAGACAUAUGGUGGUGGAGGAGACUUGUAGUCUACCUUUGGAGAUGGGGAGUAGUAUGGUGGUGGUGGGGAGCUGUAGACAUAUGGUGGUGGAGGAGACUUGUACUCAACUUUAGGAGAUGGUGAAUAGUAUGUUGGUGGUGGUGGGGAAUUAUAAACAUAUGGUGGUGGAGGAGACUUGUAUUCGACCUUAGGGGAUGGAGAGUAAUAUGGCGGUGGUGGUGGUGAACUGUAAACAUAUGGUGGUGGAGGAGAUUUAUAGUCAACUUUAGGCGCUGGAGAGUAAUAUGGUGGUGGUGGAGAACUGUAAACAUCUGUUAGUGGAGGAGAUUUGUAUUCUACUUUAGGAAGUGGUACAGAAUAUGGUGGUGGUGAUGAGCUAUCCGUGUAUGGCUCAUAUGCAGCAACCAUUGUUGCCAUGAUGAUAACUCCUAUAGCGUAAACAAGAUGGGCAGAAGGCCCCAUUCUAGAAGAAGAUUUCAUCAGGUAAGUUUUUCUUGUUUUGGUUUGUAUUUGAAAGAAUGGGUGCAUGGGUUUAUAUAGUGAAGCUUUUCUCUAAAUCUAGCUAUACUUUCCCUGUUGUUUUGAACUCCAUCCAACUAAGUCGUGGAAGCAUGUCUACUCGAUACUAGUUGGAGACGACGUGCAAGAACGUGUAGCGAACGUUGACGAGCCGCUUUCCAUUUUAUAUUUAGCAAACAUCAACUUUUAUAUGUUGGGCAACGGGCUAGUUUAAACUUUUGUUUUUAUCUUUUUGGGGUCACUUCAUAUCAAUUUUUAGAUUUUUUAUAGAUCUUCAGUAUUUUAUGAUCGAUACUUUUGAAAUAAAAUGUAUAAUCUAUUCAAAUGCUUAUACUUAUAUCUUCCGUAAAGAUUGUAUUAGAGCUUUUUAUAAAUGUUUAUAAUUAAUAUAUGUUUUUAGCUUUUUUCUUUUUCUUUUUUUUUUUAUUAGAAUUAAAAUACUAUUGUCUUACAUAUACCUUUUUUGUUUGAUCAUUAGUGUUUGAAAAAAUGAAUAUUGUAAUUGUUCGGGUGAGAAUUUUGAUUCUCUCGUACAGUGAAAUUUGUUUAGCGUUGGAAAANNNNNNNNNNNNNNNNNNNNNNNNNNNNNNNNNNNNNNNNNNNNNNNNNNNNNNNNNNNNNNNNNNNNNNNNNNNNNNNNNNNNNNNNNNNNNNNNNNNNNNNNNNNNNNNNNNNNNNNNNNNNNNNNNNNNNNNNNNNNNNNNNNNNNNNNNNNNNNNNNNNNNNNNNNNNNNNNNNNNNNNNNNNNNNNNNNNNGAUCAUUUGAUGCAGCGCAUAGCAAAUCGACCCGAUAAAAUAUUCGAGAUAUAAGGGUUAAUGAGUUCACAAGCAUAAUUAAGGAAAAAAAAGAGAGGAAUUUUGUAGAAUCAUAACAUAUAUUGAUUCAUGUAGACAUGCCUUGAAAUUUGGUUUCAGGGACGAAUUACGGUAAACUGCGGUCAGGAUAGUUUAGGUAAACUGCGGUCAGGAUAGCUUAUUUAGAACUAUUUUGUAUGUCGACUUGCGAUAAUAGGUGGUUAACGUCCAAUGUUUUUAUCAAAUUAAGAUUAUUUUACAUCCCCUAGUUAUGGGAUUUUUUUUUAUAGCUACCAAUGUUCCUCGGAAUAUAGCGAUAUUAAACUAUCAAAUAUUAAUUUGAAUUUGUGAGUACAUUAGUAGCUAUGAAGUGAUCACCUAAAUGAUCUCAAAAUCCAAAAGAGCCCUCUCCACGUUGCUUUAUCCUUUGUCAAUUCAUAUUUACACUUUUUUCCUCAUCACGCCAAACAAAUCCAGCUCGUCCUAUAUUCUAAUUUGGUAAUAUUCGAGUGAUCUCUAGUCUCGUUGUGGCUUGGCACUCGACGAAACAUAAGGAUAUAUAUUAGCUAUAGUGCACUUGCGACGUAUAUAAUUUUUAAAAUUCAAUAAUAUCUAACCAUGCAUGUUUAUGAGAUUUGAGCUUCUUGCAUGAAAAUGAAGUAAAUUGUGAUGGGCGACAAAAAGUUUUGGGAUCAAAAUAUUUACGCGUUACUUAAAUUAUAUUAAAAAAUUAUAUUUGUACUAUGACAUUUGAUUAGGAAGUUAAAUUGAAUUAUAUAUUCUUGCAAAUUAUACUACAGGAAAAUUGAGUAUCUUUAGCGGCCGAAUAACGCUAUCUAACUAGACGAUCCAGUCUUUUUGCAUCGGUUAAAGCAAUCCUCGCAAUGAAGUUCAAAGAAAAAUGCUCAAAAGGUAUUGAAGAGUUGAUGAAAGAGGUUCUCACACUUGCAUUGAAAGAUCCUCCAAGGAGUCCCACUACUCCUCCUCUCAAUCCUCUCCCUAAGACUCGCGACUAGGGCUAAGGUAUGGUCCUAUCUAUCCUUUGUAUAUAGGCAUGUCAAUCGGGCUAGCCCGAAGCCCGCAAAACCCGUACAUAUUUGAGCCCGGCACGGUCCGGUCCGUAAAAAUUCCGAGCCUAUAAUUUAAAAGCCCGGCCCGGCCCUAACAGGGCUUUUUGGGCUUUUCUCCGAAAACCAAAAAACAAACUUAUAAUUGAUAAUAUCUCUUAAAAAAGAAUCUAUAUAUGAAACGAGUCAAUCAAAAUUUAUAUAACCGCUAACGCUAAUUUAGUUUUAAAAAAAAAGAGUUAAAAUCAAAUAAAUAAUCCAAAAAUAAAUUGUUUAACCUUAUACUAGAUAAAAUAUAAAACCAAAAUAAUUCAAAUUAGCUAGUAGAGCUAAUAUUUGCUUUUUCGAUUUAUAGUAAUACAUAACAAAAAAACUAUGUUUAGGGUUUUUAACUCUAUCAAAAAAAUUUUUUACAACAAAUUUUACAAUUAAACGAAAAUAUUAACAAAAAAAAAGAUCAAAAUAUUUUUUAAAGUGCUUUUCGGGCUAGCCCGAGCCCGGCCGGGCUAAGCCCAAAAAACUCUUUAGCCCGAACGGGCUUAGCCCGAAAGGCCCGAUUUUUUCUGGACAUAUAUUUUGAAGUCCGAGCUCGCUGUUUUUCAGGGCUGGGCCGGGCUAGCCCGCGGGCUUUGGCCCUAAUUGACAUGUCUAUUUGUAUAUACCAUUUUAUUUCAUUUUCUCUUUGUUUUUUUCGUUAUGUCUUUUUCUCGGAAUUAUUCUCACACCGAGACGGUGUGAAAUAAGUUUGGGGGAGAGACUAACCAUCUAAUGUUGUGUUUUGUUUUGAUUUUAUUUCUUUGAGUCUUGCAUUGUUAAUAGUUAUGUUUUGAGAAAAAUCAAAAAAAAAAAAUUGAAAAUUUUGAAAAAUCCAAAAAGAAUCAUGUAGCUUUGCAUAUUCAUUUUCUCUUUUAGGAUUGAGUCUAGAAACAUUUAGUUACAUUUGCAUAUUCAUAGGGGAUAAUGAUUUAAUUACCUUGUAGAAAUUCAAGCUUAUGAUUGAAUUUAAAGCCCUUAAUCAUAGUUAAUUGUUGCUGGAUCAUCUUGGAAAAAAAUGGAAAAUCCAUACUUAGACCUUUGCGUUUUUCGAAAGCAAUUUCUACUUGUGUGAAGCUUACAUGACUUUGAAACAUCUCUAUGAAUUUGAACUUAGUUUGAUUUCAAUCUUCUCGCUUAUGGAUUUGAAAUGCAUUCUUAUGGUUGUCUAAAAAACUCAUUCGGGUUUUCUUAUCCACUUUGCCACUCUUUUGUAAACCCGAAUGUCCAUUCUCACAUUUAGAAUGGUUUCCCCUACCGAAAACCUUCAAGCUUUUCUUUCAAGCCUAUGAUUGGUUGUGAGUGAGGUCUCUUGUUUGAAAAUGCUAUAGAUUUUGAAAUCUUGAGAGUAUUGAGAACGACAAGGUUUUAGCUCUUGUUUUAGCUAGAUUUUGGAACAUCUUUGACUAGCUACUAGGUUGAGAAUGAAAGAGUUAGGUGGUUAGAUUGAAUAUUUGGGAUUGAGUUUGAAAAAAAAAAAAGAAAAAUGAAAAGAAAGGUUUGAUCAUGCAAAUAAAGAGUUCCUAGGGAAUAAAGUUAAGAUAAAAGCUCUAAGUCUCUAAGUUAAAAGACAAAGAAAAAUGUGAAGUUAGUUCCCCAAAAGGAAAAGAAAUUUACAAGGUUAUAAGUAAUGGGAGCAAAGAAAAACAAAGUGAAGAGAUAGAAAAGAGCUAAGUAUUUAAGAAAAUUUUUCCCUAGGUACGUGACUACAAAAAAACAGUGAUCUUGAAGUUGGUGAUUUAAAAAGACCAAAGUGUCUAGUGUUUGGGGUAGAAAAGAAGAGGAAAAGAAUUUUCAAAAAGGGUACAAAUAGGAGUUUACAUCUAAGGCGGGUAGAACAACAAGAGCUUAACUUUGUAUGCAUAAAUUGUUCUUGGUCUUAGAUGGAUUUCAUGAUUGUCUAGCAUUUCUUUUCUUGAGAGAAAGCCACCAAAGUAUGAAUCUUUUGAAACCACCUCUAAAAACCUUUACCAAAAUCGAUUGAGAAUGAUUUACUUUCCAUUUGCGAGACCGCGCCAAACACUUGAAUGAAUGUUAAAGAGAUAUUUCAACUUGAUUGUGAGUCUUUACUAAUAGUUAGGAAUUGAAAUAGAAUCAUGCGUUGAAAUGAGUAUGGAAAAGUACGAAAGAGUAUGAUGAUUGAUUCAAGCAAAUUUGAACUAUCUUUAAGGACUUUGAGUUGAAUCUUUUGUUUGAUAUUUUGUGGCUAUAAAUCCCCAUUUUCAAACUUCUCUUCCAUCCUAUUUCUUAGCCCUUGCUUGAGGACUCGCAAGAGAUAAGUUUGGGAGAGUUGAUAUAUUGUGUUUUUGUUAGUUUUAUAGCUUCAUUUCUUUUACUUUCUUAUCAUUUUGCAUUCAUGUUUAGGUUCUUAGGUGCAUAUUUGCAUUGUAUUUCUUCAAUGUAGGUUCUUGGAGUGGAGUUUGGUGUUUUGGGAACAAAUGAGCAAAAAGGAAGCUAAAAGAAGGCAAAAUGAGUAAUAAGGUUCAAGGAGGGAUCAAGAGGUGAAAGGAGAUGUUAAGAUGUGGUGAAGAAAGAAGAUUGAAGAAGAGAAGAGGAAGCAAUAGACCAACUGGUCGAUUCCUGGGUCGAUUGGUACCAGACCAGAGCUACGGACGACACUUCAAUCGAUCACUUAAUCGAUCGAUUGCUCUACCCAAUAGACCAAAUGGUCGAUUAAGUGGUCGAUUGGGCGCCUAAACCAGGUCAAAACCCGGUUUGUUCCAGGUUGACCCGGUUCGUUUUUCUCUUUUCUAUAAAUACUCUUAACCUAGUUUUAGAAAAUUUUAUGCUUGUUUUGAAUUUCUCUUUUCUCCUUUGAGAUUUUGUAUGAAUCUUAAUUAUUUUGUUGCAAUCUAGUCUUGUUUAUUUUGAGAUUUUUUCUUAAUUUACUUUUGUCAUUAAGAUCAUGCAAAAAAACAACAUGGAUCUUUGUGUUUUCACUAUGAUUAGUGAGUAGUCUCUUUUGAGCCUUUGGGUUUAGUAGAUUAGGGUGGUUGUUGAUUGAUUCAAGAUGUUUAGGACAUAAUCUUUAUUGAUCCUUACUCUCUAGGUGUUCUUAGUGCUAGAUUAGUUUUGAUUAAGCUAGUCUAGAUCAUAGGAAGUUUCAUGCCCGGAAGGUAUUCGAUGAAAUUCCCGAAAGAACUUAGUGAGUGUUUAGCAUUCCUAGCCAAUGGAAAUUGAUGAUUAGGGUGCUAGGUGGUUAGUUAGGCUUGAAAUUAAUGCAUAUUAGUCUUGUGGUUGCCAAUGGAAAUUGAUGUUAAUUGCUUGAUUAAUGUAGAGUUAGUACCAUGGAAGUGGACUAGUUUACAUUAGUGUUCUAAGACUAAAGGAUUAGCAUUGUUAGAUUGAUAGAGCAUCUUGAAUUGAUUAUUGAUCACUCGAAUCAAUAAUCUAAACCCGAAGACUCGCUUUCUAUUUAUAGACUUGAACCGCUUUGCUUAUUUCUCGUUUCUUUGAUUUUGAAUCUUGUUGGUCUUUUGCAUAUUGAUAUCUUUUGUCUUAUUUUGCAUUGUUUAGUUUAAAUUGCAUUGUUAGUCAAAUUCAUAAAAACCAAAACUAUAUCUAUUAGCUUAGAUUAAGUGAAUGUGUGUAUUCCUAGUGUGUUGGUUCAUUGCUCCUUGAGGUUCGAUAUUUAAUUGGGUAAAAAUACUACAUCAAUUUGGCGCCGUUGCCGGGGAGCAAUAGCAAUUAGCCAUUAGGAUUUCAUUUUUGCUUGAGACUAAGCCAUUUAAUUUUUGCGCAAAUAAUUAGAUUCACGCAUCUAGUUGAGAUGAUGAAUUUUCUUUUGUUUAUUGUUACUAAUUUGUCUUCCUUGAUUCUCUUAUGCUUUCGAAGGUACUCAAAUCAAAAGAAGAAAAAUAGGAAGACGAGAUCAUUUAAGGUGUUGGAUGUGGACAAUCAUACAAACAUUAUUCAAGCUCCACAACCUCAGGAAUUGAUAUCAAAUACGACUCAUGCUCGAGAGAACACACCCACAAUAGGAAGCUUUGUUGCUCCUCAUUAUGAAUCAAGAUACGGAAUCCGACCUCCUCUAAUAGAAGUCAAUGCUUAUGAAAUCAAGACAAGUUUGAUUAGAUUGAUUCAAGGCUCUAAGUUCUUGGGGCUAGCUAUGGAGAAUCCUUAUGAUCAUUUGGACUCGUUUGAGAGGUUGUGAGCACAUUUAGGAUUAUAGGUGUGCCCGAAGAUAGUAUGAAGCUCAUUUUGUUUCCAUUUUCUCUUGGAGAAAAAGCAAGCCAAUGGGAGAGAGCAUUACCAUCUCAUUUGGUCAAUUCUUGGGAUGAUUGUAAGAAGAUCUUCCUUCUCAAGUUCUACUCUAAGCAAAAAACAGUCCAAAUAAGAAAUGACAUAAUGGGGUUUAAGCAAGGAGUCUAUGAAAGUUUUCAUGAAGCAUGGGGAAGACUUAUGGGAUAUAUUCGAGAUUGCCCUCAUCAUGGAUUCAACAGAGAAUCUAUCCUUAGUAUUUUAUAUUGGGGAGUUAAUAAGGAGUUAAAAAUUUCAUUGGACAUGGCUAGCAAAGGGUGUUUUGCAAACCUUACUGUGGAACAAGGAGAGUUACUUGUUGAGAAUUUUGCGCAAAGUGAUCAAAUGUGCAAUGAGAUAUGUGAUAAAUCGCCUCUAGAAACACCAAAUGAUGACUACAAGUGGCAAAAUUUGCAAGGUAAGUUGGAUGAUGUGGAGAAGUUCAUGAUGAUGCAACAAAGAAGAGUUAAUAUGGUUCAUGAGAAACACCAACAAGAUGGACUAUGCCAAGUUCUACAAGAACAAGGAUUUCAACCAAGAACUCAAUUCACGAACAAAGGACACUCUUCUAUUCAACCUCCUACCCAAGAUAAUGAAAUGAAUGCCAAGUUGUAACAAGUUUUAGAAGGCCAAACUAAUGGUUAUAUGGAUUUUGGUAAGAGGUUCGUUGAGAUGCAAAACAAGAUAGAUGGUAUGUACAAUGAUCUUGAUUGUAAGAUCACUAGCUUGGCUUCUCAUAUGAACUCCAUUAAUCUUAAGGUCUCUCAAGCCUCUUCUAGUUCAAAGAAUGCAAGUGGAGUAUUACAGAGUAAAUCCGAAGCUAAUUCCAAGGAGUGUUGUAAUGCUAUCUUCACAAAUAAUUUGGUUAUAGUUUAUGAGAAUGAAAAGGCAAUUGAAGAAAUUUCUAGAUUUCUCCAUGGUUCUAGUGUUGAGAGUUUGGCGGGUAAUAGUGAUGAGAAUAUCGAAAAGAGCACUAGAAAGUAUGAUGUGGUAAUCAAGCGGGUUCAAAAGGACGAAACCACAAAUAUUGAUCUCUCAAACAAGAGAGAAACAUUUCUCCACGUGAAAAACGUUUCUCUGGUAUUUGUCGCAUCGUUGAGAAAACUUCUCGUAGUCUUUGAUCAUUGUGGGCCAAAAGUACCCGUGGCGCUUGAUUUUGAUGGCUAAGGCUUUCCCGUCAGAGUGAUUUCCACAGGAUCCUCCGUGCACUUCUUCCAUGACUCUUCGAGCUUCGAUUCCUUCAACACAGAUCAGGAAAGGUCCGGAAAACCGCCACUUGAAGAGUUCUCCAUCGAGUAAAGUAUACCGAGCGGCUUUUGCUUUAAGCUUCCGAGCUGCCCAUUUUUCAGCAGGGACUUCUCCGUCAGCUAUGUAACUGCGGAUAGCUCCGAUCCAUUUGAUAUCGCUUCCGUAUUCGGGCUCGGUUACGCCCUCUGUUUGUUGGUCAGUUGGCUUGGUGUCCAUUUCUCCAGAAUCUUCUAUUUCCCGAGCUGUGAACACGCGUUCUUCGCUGCUGUCUUUAAUACUUGGUUUUUCUAUGAACUCGACCAGUAUGAUUCUCUUCAUGUUUAGAUCGGAGGUCGAAGCCAUAGCUGCUAAGGCGUCAGCUGAUGUGUUUUCGCCUUGUGGAAUUCGUGUCAACUCGAACUCGCCGAACUGUUUCGCCAGGUCCUGAGUUAUAGUAAGGUAUGCUUCCAUUCGUUUAUCCCGAGCCGUGUACUCUCCGUUGAACUGGUUGGCCACAAGCUGGGAGUCACAAAAGGCUCGUAUUUUGUUGAUCUUAAGUCCCCGUGCCAACUUCAGUCCGGCUAUGAGCACCUCGUAUUCUGCCACGUUGUUGGUUGCAUCGAAGUUCAGUCGGAAAGACUGUUCAAGAAUUUCCCCUUCCGGAGAUACUAAGCGAAUCCCGACGGCAGAGCCCUGCUUUGAGGACGAGCCGUCGACAUGGAGGAUCCAAACGGCGUCGGGCGAAUUUUCUCUAAUGUUUUCUAGCGGCAGUUCGAUGAUAAAAUCUGCCAAGACUUGGGAUUUUGCGCACGUCUUGUUUCUGUACUCAAUGUCGUAUUCACUGAGUUCUAUUGCCCAUUUGGCUAGGCGUCCUGAUUGGCUUGGACUAUGCAAGAUGGCUCAGAGUGGUAUGGGAGCCAUAACUACGAUGGAGUGAGAUUGGAAGUAUGGUCAUAAUUUUCUGAGCCGACAUUACGACUGUGAGGGCGAUCUUUUUGGUUUGUGGAUAACGCGUUUCUACAUUGGUGAAAGUCUGCGAGAUGUAGAAAAUCGGUUUUUGCUCCCCCAAUCUUCUCUGACUAUUACUCCGCUGACCGCCGUGUCCGAGACGGCGAUGUACAGAAAUAGCGGUUAGCCCGGGACCGGUUUUGCCAAGACUGUUAGAUUUUCCAGAUACAUCUUUAGUUCCUAGAAAGCUUCCUCGCAACGAUCGGUCGAUUCGAAUUUCUUGUUUCCACGCAAAAUAUCGUAGAAGGCCAGACAUUUAUCAGUAGAUCGGGAGAUGAAUCGGUCCAGGACUGCGACUCUUCCGGUCAGACGUUACAUCUCGCGUUUGUAUUGCGGCGAGGCCAUGUUCAGUAGAGCAUUGAUUUGUUUAGGAUUCACCUCGAUGCCUCUGUGAGUUACCAGAUAUUCCAGGAAUUCGACUGACUUUACCUCGAAGCGACAUUUUGCUGGGUUGAGCUUCAUGUUGUGUAGGUUAAGCUGUCAGAAACAGUCGCGUAGAUGGGCCACAUGGUCGUUUUCCUCGAGGGACUUGACUAGCAUUUCGUCAAUGUAGACCUCCAUUGUCUUCCCGAGCUACUCGGAAAACAUCUUGUUGACGAGCCGUUGGUAUGUCGCGCCGGUGUUUUUGAGUCUGAAAGGCAUGACUUUGUAGCAGUACAUGCCACGGCUGGUAAUUAACGCUGUCUUCUCUCGAUCAUCUGGGUGCAUAAGGAUCUGGUUUUAUCCUGCGUAGGCGUCCAUGAACGAUAGCAGCUUGUUUCCGGCGGUUGCUUUUACCAAUCGGUCGAUAUGUGGGAGCGAGAAACUGUUCUUCGGGCAGGCUUUGUUCAGGUCAGUGAAGUCAACGCAAAUUCUCCAUUUCCCGUUCUUCUUUUUCACCAUGACAGGAUUUGCUCGCCAGUCAGAGUAUCUUGCUUCGGAGAUCUAGCCGAUCUUCAGGAGUUUUUCCACUUCUGCGUUCACAGCAUCGGCGUGGUUUCUGCCCAAUUUCCUCCUCUUCUGUUUGAUGGGUUUGAACGAUAGGUCUACAUUCAACUCGUGGCAAAUUACGUCGAUACUUACUCUAGGUAAGUCCUCGGGUGACCAGGCAAAAGUGUUGACGUUUUUCUUGAGAAAUAAGAUGAGCUCGGCCUUGAUCUCCUCGGUCAGGUCGUAGCCUAUCUCAACGCACCGCUCAGGUCGUUCAUCGUCAAGGCUGAUGAAGAUUACAAGAUCCGAGGUAGGCUUCUUCUCCUCGUGAGACUCCUCGAUCUGUAAUUGCUAUAACUGUUUUGAUAUAGCCUUCUCCUCGCUUCGACUAAUUUUUGACUUCUUGUGGUCGACCUCGGUGUUGGCUUCGGCGCGAGGUUUCGAAGUUUGUGCGCUGACAUGAAACACAUCCGUGAAUUCUUCUGACUUCCCCAUAUCGUCUUUACACCGUUGGGCAUCGAGAAUUUUACGCAGAGGUGACAUGUUGAAGCGACAGCUCGCAUCAGGUUUAACCACGGCGUCCCCAUUAUGAUGUUGUAGAUGGUUGGUUGAUCAGUGAUUGAAAAAAUGAUUAUCUUUGUCACUCCGCCGGCCUGGACUGGCAGCUGAAUAGUUUCGGGCGUCAUCAAUGUUUCUCCUGAGAAGUCGAAGACUGGCCUCGGGGUCGGAGUUACUUGCAAAAUAUCGAUGUUCAUAUGUCAAAGCGUCUCGCGGAAUAUUACGUCAAUAGUGCUGCCUAUGUCGAUCAGUAUUCGUGAUACGUUGUGGUCUCCUACGGCUAGUGUGACGACGAGGGGAUCGUUGUGAAGCAUGUCGACUCCGUUCGUUUUACUUUCCUCGAACGCGACUGUGUCAUUGGGUCGGUCUAAUAGUCUUGAGCAGUUGAUGGGCGCCUCGGCCCAGUGUUGAUAGGCUUUGAUUGCCACUACGGUGUCGGGGCAGUAUGGUGAUCCACCCAUUAUAGUUAGUACCUUCUGUAUUGUGCCAUCGCGAUCCCUUUUUGGUAUUCCUCGGGGAUGCUUCGGAGCUUCCUGGUUUCUUGGCUCGGGAUCCCUUACCGUAUUGGUUUGCUCAAGCUGAACUUGCUCCGGCUCUAGAUCCUUGAGCGUGAUAUUCGUCCCGAGUUCUCCAGCUAGGAAUUUGGCUGCCAACUUCGCCCUAAGGCUCCGGCAUCGGGAGGUGUGAUGUCCGAAAGUUUUGUGGGGCUCGCAGUAUUCUUGAUUGUUACUUGGUGGUUGAUCUCUCGUUCAAGUGAACGAGUCUCUUCCUCGUCCACGACUGCGGCCUCGACCUCGGGCCGUAUCGAUUUGAUAGUUGUGGACCCCCGAGAAAUUGCGUCCUUCAUGAUAUGUAUACGUCCCGCUCUGGUUUACCUUCUUCUGGGUCGGUGGUGUUGCUUGAGUUUUCUCGGUUCGGGCCGCCUGUUUCGUCGGCUCGUGUCUCUUUGCUAACAACUCCAUCUCUUCUUCGUAGGCGACGAAAUACGAGGCUCAGUGCAGCGCAUCGCGAAUUGUGGUGGGUUUGGACAGGUUCAGCUCUUUUCUGAAUUCUGACUUAUACCAGAGGGCUUUCUUAAGGCCGAAAGGGCAGCCACAUCGGUGAUUCCUUCGACCCUUUCUAGUGUUGAUUUGAAAGUUGCGAGGAAAUCCCUUAAUGGCUCGUUGGGCUGUUGCAUAGAGUACUUCUUGAGAAAGAGCGUUGACAGCUCGUCGAAACUAUCGACCGAGUUUCGAUCUAAUCUUGAAAACCAGUCAAGUGCAGUUCCCUUGAGGGGCUCGACGAAUAACAAGCAUAGACCAGUGUCCUUCUCUCCGGGUUUAAACUUGGCUCGGGCCACAGAUAUCAUGAAUGAUUUAAUGUGUCUCUUCGGGUCAGUCGUUCUGUUGAAGUAAUCGAUCUUGAGCUUUCCCGGGUCGGAGACUGUUGCUUUGGAGAUUCUUCUAGUGAAAGGUGUAUUGCGAGAUUCUUCUAAGAUGCAGUCGAUGUUAGGUGCUGAGGAAGACACGCUAUGCAUCUGUGAUUUGACGAUCUUCAUAUCGGCUACAGCUUUGGCUAAGGAGGGUUUGAUUUCACCGGGCUCUCGUUGCCUCUCAUACUCUUCGCCCCACCUUGCGUUCUCCUCUGCUUCUUCGUCGUCGGUGGCAUCGGUUCGCUCAGGGGAAUUGACUCCGGUUCGGGGAUCUUGAGCCUGUUGAUUGCCCGGCUUGUUCUUUUGGUUUAUUGUGUUCGGGUCUGAAUGGUCAUCCUGAUUCUCGUGUCGGGCGAGCUCGACUCGGGCUUCAGCUCUACUGUUUUCGGUCGGUGUUGCGAAGACAAGUCUUGUUAGGUUGAUGUCGGGUAUAUCUCUUCGGGCUCGUAUCGGCCGAGUCUGAAAACGUGUGAUCCUGAACUGUCCACGGGACGCGACUUCUUCGAUUUGCUGUGCCAUGGUCUUGUUAACUUUUUCUUGAUCGUUGGCUUUCUUCUGGAGUUGAACCAUCAUAUCCUUCAGCUCAGCUAGGGUUGUCGAGAUUGCUGGUUCGGCUUGGGGAUUCUGAGGGUUCGGAGGAAUCGGGUUACCUCCACCAGCUAGUAGAUGAUGGUCGUCUUUAGUCAUCGUUUUUCUUCGGUGAUUGAGUUAUGCGUUCUUGGAGUAUGAGAAUUCUAAAGCAUCCCAACAGACGGCGCCAAACUGUGGAAGUCAAAACUUAACACAAUCGAGAUUUGUCUAGGGUUUUAUUUUAGGGAUACGAUGUGCAAGAAUUCUCAAAGAACAACAGAAAAACUUGUGAUCAAAGAUGGUGUUCUUGAUAUUAUUGAUGAAAAGAAUAGUUUUGAUCGUACAGAGAACUAGAUCGUAAAAAGAAAAGUGUUUGUUCGCUUUCGAGAGUCAGAGUUUUUUGUAGUCUGAAAUCUAGAGCAUUUUUGCUUCCCUCUUCUGUGAGAGCCUUGAGUUGCUUUAUAUAGGGAUAGUAAACCGCCUCCUAGCAAUAUUCUCAGGUAGCACUGAGACUUUGCCUCGGGGUAGCACUGAGACUUUGCCUUGGGUAGCACUGAGACUUUGUCUCGGGUAGCAUUGAGACUUUGCCUCGGGGUAGCACUGAGACUUUGCCUCGGCAGUGUACCCCGAGCUGACUGGCUGUGUACCCUGAGCUAAAUAACUGUGUUCCCCGAGCUGACUGACUGUGUUCCCCGAGCUGAUUGACUGUGUACCCCGAGCUGACUGACGGUGUUCCCCGAGCUGACUGGCUGUGUACCCCGAGCUGACUGACUGUGUUCCCCGAGCUGAUUGUGUACCUUGAGCUGACUGACAGGGUACCCCGAGGUGUUGUAGGCUUGGUCUCAAAGGAUGGGUGAAAUCCGACCCCAACAAGUCACGUGAAACUCUUCAUCUAAGCAAAAAAUUGAACUAAACAGACUAAUCAUGCACAUCUAAGAUCAAGUACGAAUGAAUCUAGCUUGUAAUUACUUAGGAGAAGACAUCAAAUUGGUUUACAAAGAGACAAAGCCUUCACAUUCAAGAAACCAAACCUAGUAAAUUUGACUAACCUUUAUAUAUAAUGCAAACGUUAAGGACUCACACAAAACCAAAUCGUUAAGGACUCACACAAAACGUGUAACGAAGAGAGGUUAUCGAGACGUGUAGGCCACAAAUUGUUUUCUGAAGGACUCACCAACUUGAUUCAACUAACGUCUAAUUGUUUUCUGAAACUUUUUGCCACAAAUUUAUUCAAACUCACUUGGAAACCAAAAUCAAGACACCCUCACAACAACAAAAACAAAACAUGUCUACUAAGUAAGACUCUGUGGAGUGCAUAAAACCGUUGUAUAGAAACAAACGAAACGGUAAGCACCUGCAAGUUUUAACAGCAACAACACAAAACCUAAAUCAACACAAAACAGUUAAGAAACAACCAAGCCAAUAAUGAGGCAAUUCGUCGAACACCUGGAGGGCAUGAAAAGCAUCAUCAGAACAUAAACCACUCCACUCCGGCCAAAAGCUUCUAAGAAAUCAAUAUAAUCCAAAUCGAUCAAACCCUACCAAAAUCUAACCCAAGUGCUCAUGAAUCUACUGAACCCUAACAAAAUCAUACCUGCGACGAAGAUGUUUUGGGGUUCUUGGCCAACGAAAUCAAUAGCUAUGGUUUAGGGGAUCUGGACGAGCGAAGAAGAUGAAGGAUGAAGAAUUCAUAGAAUUUAAGAAGAAGAAGAAUUUGGGGAUAAGAGCGAGAAUGACAAAGAGUGAUAGAAAUUGAUAAAAUCCAAUAGAUCUAGGGGUGUAUAAUCAUAGGAAAAGAGUGAAUAGGUAAAUGAGAGGUAAGGAGAAGGGAAGAAUCAAGGAAGAAGGGAAGAAUAGAGGAAGACACUACAAGAAAACACUUCAUUUGCGACUGUGAUAUUAGUCGCUAAACGGUCGUGAUUGCUCGAGUAAUUACCCGAUACACUUAACCGCAAGGUAGUAUAUACGGGGUCGAUCCACAAGGACCUAAGAUACUCUAAGGAUUUUCGAGACUUGUUCUUAGCUAAAACUAAAAAGUUGUUUUGUUUGAGUUUUCCGAAUUGUAAAAUAAAAAUGCAAUUAAAUUAAACGAUUUAAGUUUCAAGAUUUAAAGACAUUAGGCAUUAGGGUAUUUCAGAGAUCAAUAAACAAUGGAAACAUGAGACAAGGAAUUCAACAAUUACGAACCGUUCUUGAACAUGAACACAUUUAGACCAACUCUCUUUCAAGACAUUAAUCACUAAAUUUGACUAUUCGAUUACUAAACUUUCGCAUGCAAUUUCCUAAUCAAAUUCGUAUUACCAACUAAGUUCAUUUAGUUCACAAUGCGUCCUAACGUCAACUUUCGUUGGCUAGAAAUACAUUGCUCAAUUCACAUUCUUUCAGGCAUUCUAUCGAACACUUUUGAUGCAUAGAAAAACCUAGGUUCUACAACAGGGUGAUCAAUCCUAUUCUAGCAUUAAGAACAUGUGAAUCAAAGAACCUAAAGAAUGAAAUUCCUAAUAACAAUCAAUCCAUUAAUCCAUUGAAUCUCCUAAUUAGAACCCUAAAACCCAAUUAAAAGACUACUCACACAUAACAACAGAAAUAAGACAAAUAGAUUGAAAGGAAAGCAUAAUGGAAUUGAUAAAUAAGAAUAAGGGUUUAGAAAUCUUCUCCAAAGUGUCAAAGAGGAUGAAUCUCUAGAAUCCCAAAAAGUUUACAAAGAGAAGUCUCAAAAGUUGCAGAGAAAAGAACGUAAAAAGAAAAUUAGGUCUCUGGAGUUUUUAUACCCAAGUACAAGGGUGGAUCGAUCGAUCCCAUGGGUGGAUCGAUCGAUCCCAUGGGUGGAUCGAUCGAUCCCAUGGGUGGAUCGAUCGAUCCAGAUAUGCUGAAUCAAUUGGUCUUGGGCGGAUGAUGCUGGAUCGAUCGAUCCCCCCUGGGAUCGAUCGAUCCCGAAGCUCCUAGAGUCAAGCUCUGCACCUGCUUCAAAUGCUCGCCAGAUUGACAUGUCUUCACUAAUUUGGGUAUAACUCUUGAAUGCACCGUUAGAUUUCCUUCAAACCACUUGGAAAAUCAAGCUAACAUCUUCAUCUAGAUUGUGUCAAAAAUUCAGAAAGAUCUAACUGUGGGAAGUCUUCCAUCUGAGGCCAAACGUUUGAUACUUCUAACUGAAACUGCAUCUCCAAAUGUGUGUUUAUAUCCCAAAACAGCUCGUUUUCCUCCGAAGCAACCUAAAACCUGUAAAGACUCGAUAAAAGACUAAAAGACUCUAAAAACACACUUUGACUCUUUAAAAUAUAUGAUCUAGGAAAGAAAACAAAGACUCAAAACCGAUAAAAACACAACAUAUCAGGUCGCAAAAGAGGGUUUUGCAACUGAAUAACGACUAUUUCCAUUGGUCGCAAAAAAAUGGUCGCAAAAUUUCCGUGUAUCACUAUAGUCGCUAAUUUGCGACUAUUUUGCGACUAUAAAUAUAUCGUCGCAAAUUACCGACUAAUCUGUGACAGGUGAAUAUCGUUGCAAAUGUGCGACUAUUUUAGGACUCAUUUAUUAUGGUGACAAUAUAGUCCUUUAUUAGUAACCAUUUUGAUACAAGAUUUGGAGUUAUUUGUAAAUUUGUUUAGUCACAGUUUGGUCACAUUUGUUAAUUGUUCUGGUCACAAACUAGUCAGAAUUUCUGAAACUUUUUGGUCAUAGAAUGGUUACAUCUUAUUAGUCUGAAACCUGUCCAUUUCAAAAGCAAAUGCAUUCAAAAACCAUUCAAAUAUCAAUCAAGUACCAUUCCAAACCAUUCAAAAACUAUCCUAAUCAAAGCAUAACAUAUCCUAAUAAGUUCACAUACACAGACAAAAGGAAACUAAAAUCAAGUUGAAUGAUUUGAGGUGGUGUUAGAUAGAGGAGAGGUUGGUGUGGUUCCAGUGGUGUGUCCUGCUGGUUGGACUGCAGCUCCUAUGGUGCCUGGAAGGGUGUCGGAAGGGUGGCAAGAUAGUAUUUCAUGAGUGCAGCGACAUCAACUGGAUUCACACCCUCAGGUAUUGACGCACUAGGAUCUGCCAAACAAGUGAUUCAAUCAAAUUACAAUUUCUCACUAAGCUAUAAGAGUCGAGGCAAAUCUUGCUAGAAUGUCGGCUAUCUUGAUUGUAAGCAGAAACCAAUUGUUGAAUCAACUUUUUAUCUCCUUCGGCUUUGAACAAGUUCGGUGAAUUAAGCCCUGGUAAGAGGAAAAUAUCACAUUGAUAACUCGAUAUGAGAAGGUAAGAGCAAUAAAAGGUUUGUGAUCCAUUGGUCCAAACAUUAUUACCUGUUAAUAUGAGAUAAUCUGCGCAUUUAAUCAGUAUCAGUGGUAUAGGCCUGCUUGACUCUUGCCGCUGGACAAUGAUCUCAAUCAGAACACCAAACACUGAGUGCCAAAAAAAACGUCAUAUAGAGAAAGUUACAGCAUUUCAAACAAGCAGAGCAGAAUCUUAAUAACUAAUAGUUAUCUCAAGAACGGACUAAUAAGAGGAUUAAGUAUCCCCACUACCCUCCAUCAAAGAAUCAAUUGACCUUUCGAUUAACUAAAUGUUUAUAAACUGUAUUCUCUCCAUAAAUUGCGAUUAACUUACCAUCUGAGCUGGCAACUCCCUGCAGAUUUACAAACAAUAGAUAUUAGAGACCAAACUUCAAAUCAACGGCAUACAAUCAGAUUUCAGACUCAAGUACCUUCUGCCACCUUUCGAUGUCCGUCAAAAUGGUCUUGCUUUUUUGUGCAGUCUUUUUGGCUGCCUAAGAGAAAACAAAGAUCAAAGAAUUUAGGUGUCAGAAGUUAUAAGCGACAAACAUUCUUGUCAAGUCAAUUCAAGAAGCUACACCUCUUCCAUUUUGAUCUUUCCAACAUAAACCUUUUCCUUUGUCUCAGUUAUACCCUUCCUGACCAAGGUCCCGGUUGUGGCAGCAGCUGUUAUGAGGUGUUCUUGCACGGCAUGUCUAGUUGCCGGCUGCUGAAGAAUUGCCCACCAGAAACUGCACUAAGAGCAUUUAACUACGCUUUUAGACAGCUCAUUCAUUACCGUGCCCAUGCCAUCCAAACCAGCCUUAACCAUGUACAAAAAUAAAGAGGAAUAUUAGUCGAAAUGUAGAAGCAAAAACUAAUAACAUUGGAAAAUUAGAAGACCAUUUACCAUCUCAAGGAGAAUGCUAUCCUUGAGAUUAUAUGCUGAUAUGCUAUCAUAGGUUAACUUAGGGAAAGGAAACACUAGUUAUUGAAAGGUAAAUUAGAAGUAAAGAACAAGCACAUACUUAGACAAAUAAUAACAGAGAUACAACAAACACAGUAGUUUCUUAGAAUCAAUAUACAAACACAAACUUAAGCAAAUUAGAUGAGCAACUACUAUACUAACACACUCGUUUCUUAGAAUCUUUAUUUAACAAUCAGAUUAGAACAAAUUAAAGACAAAUCAAACCUUUUUCACUUUGAAAUUCGAAAAAGCAAUUAUAAACAUCAUCUGAAGUAAUAUACUAACCUAAAAUCAAACCAAAAAACCUAGAGAAACAGAGAAAUGAAGCUAACAUGGAAUAAACAGAGCCAAGAGAGAAAUCGAGUUAAAAACUGGUUGUAAUCGAACACUAUACAGCCCUAAACAUCAAAAAUAAUAGCAGAUCUAAUAUGAAAUCGAGCAAAUAAAACAAAAUCAAGCAUUUACAAAUCACGAGAAGGAGAAGAGUCAUAAACAGUACCUGCCGGACCCGAGUCGGAUGGACGUUGGCGACGGUCAUUCUCUUGGCCGGAGGAAGUGAAAGACCCCAACCCAGACUCCCUAAGCCCGUAGAGGUUCUUCCCGAACGGAUCACUAAGUGGUCCGAUCCUUAGCCAAAUUUUAGGGUUCAUUCCUUAAGACAAUCCGUUUCAUAUUAUUCCGCGAUUUAUUAUUUAGAGUCAUUAUGCAACCUUAGAGUAAAACAAACGAUCGGAUACUUUAUUAGAUAAGUAAAGGAUUCGAUACAACUUAUGAGUUUGCAUAUAAGCUAUUACAAGUCAUAUAAUCGAUCCUAUUCUACCCGAUUCACCACCACCCAUCUUCCCGGCCAUGAGUCUCUCGCGCCUAAGCCAAAUCCUUCCCACGAUCACCAUCCUUCCCUGAAACCAACAAGACAUAAGUACUCGUCUUUUACUUAGUGGAUGCAAGUCCAUGCAAUGCACUAUACGUUCUUAUAAUCCUUUGGUCCGGAAAACGGAUCGGAGAGAGGAAGUAAGCGCAUCAGUUCGGCCUAGAACCGGUAGAUCCUCGCGGAUCCACCGAUUCCUUGCCGAGCCGCCUCCCCGUCUCAACCAAACCGUUACUCCUCACAAAGUAUGCACGAUAUGAAUAUGCUCAUGAAUGACUAGGCCGAUCAACGAACUAAUCAAGCAACCCACAAUAUUCUAGCCCUUAUACCAUCCGCACGUCCGGAGAUCGUAAUCUCCGAGGCAUUACCACGCUUUACACCCACCUUGACUACACGGAUUCGAUCGGUGAAUGAUCCGUGUUGCCUCUCUCGAUCGCCGAUAGAACGCUCGGCUCCGAAAACUCUCCUUUUAACCGUAUUCCUCUCGGCAAAUGCCUUAGAGUUUCCUCUGGAUUUUAGGUGUUUGCGCGUGUCGUGAAAAUAAAGGAAUCGCCUUCUAUUUAUAGUUUUUACGAUUAAAACCGUUUUUCCCCAUAGGUGCCCGUUCGGUGGAACACGCUUGUUCGCAUAGGUUCUUUGAAACCGCUCAUUCAUGCAUCUUUGACCAACCGUUCGUUCGCGUCUAUUCGGCCGUUAUAUGUAACCGUCAACCCAACCGCCUUACUACCUUCCCACCCGACCAGCUGACCUAGCUAGACUGUCACUCAACCAGCUGACCUUCACUCCGUCCAGCUUAGGUGAGCUACCGAGCAGCUGGUCCAGCUAGUCGAGCUGGUUAGCUUCAACACUUCCAGCUCGUUUCAGCUUGUCAUGCACUUCAGAAGCCACUCUAUCCGCUUCCUUUGGACUUAGCCCGAGAUUCCGCUUUUCCCUCGAACCAAGUCUUCCCCGGCGAUCCUAUUGAGGAUUGCGGGUGUUACAAGUCUCCCCCCCUUGGAUGGGAUUCGUCCCCGAAUCCGACUCAAGUGGAUCUUCAUCCAUCUCCUUAAACCACUUAGGAAAAUCGGCCUUCAUCUUAUUCUCCGUUUCCCAAGUAGAUUUUUCGCGGCCAACGCAAUCCCAUAAAACUUUUAUCAUGGUUAUCCGUUUCCUCCGAGUUCCCUUCUCCAUUCGAUCCAUGAUUCGAAUUGGUCUUGCUUCCACCGUUAGGUUUUCUUUUAACUCGGAAGGAAUAUCUUCGAAACGCUCCUCGUGUUCGCUUAGAUAUUUCCGAAGUUGUGAUACAUGGAAGACCUUGUGGAAUGCAUUCAACUUUGGUGGUAGUUGGAGUUUGUACGCCACAGCCCCUACCCUUUCGAUCACCUUGUAUGGACCAACGUACCUUGGACUCAAUUUCUUCCUUAUAGUAAAUCGCCCUUUUCCCUUAUAAGUCACCGCCUUAAGAUAUACCAAGUCUCCCACUUGGAACUCCAACUCUUUUCGACGCUUAUCCGCAUAAUUUUUUGUCGGUUUUGGGCUUCCUUUAGUUUUAUCUUAAGGAACUUCAUCUUUUCGGUGGUUUCAUCCACAAUCUUCGGACCGAACAGCAUACGUUCGCCCACCGGUGUCCAACAUAGCGGCGUCCGACAUGCUCGGCCGUACAACGCUUCGUAAGGCGACAUACCAAUACUAGCUUGAUAGCUAUUAUUGUACGCGAACUCCACCAACCUUAAGUACUUCUCCCAAUUCCCACCCCAAUCCAAGACGCAUGCACGUAACAUGUCCUCAAGGGUUUGAAUCGUACGCUCGGAUUGUCCGUCCGUUUGAGGAUGGUAAGCUGUGCUCAAGUUCACCCGCGUCCCCAAGGCUUUUUGGAAAGCCUUCCAGAAAUGCGACGUGAAUCGUGUAUCCCGAUCCGACACAAUGCUUACCGGAACCCUAUGUAACCGGAUUAUCUCGUCUAUGUACUUUGCUGCGAUCUCCUCGGCUCCAUCCGUUUCUGAAAUUGCCAUAAAAUGCGCGGACUUUGUUAAUCUGUCCACCACAACCCAAACCGCAUUGUGUUUAGACUUGAUCCCCAUAGGUAACCCGGUAACAAAGUCCAUUGUUACAUAGUCCCACUUCCAUUCCGGCAUAGGUAGAUUUUGCACCAAUCCACUCGGAACUUGGUGUUCCGCCUUGACUAGUUGGCACGUCGAACACUUAGCAACCCAUGCCGCUACGUCCUUCUUCAUUCCAACCCAAUGGUAGUAUCGUUUCAAGUCUCGGUACAUUUUACUCGAUCCGGGGUGGAUCGAGAACUUCGAUUGGUGCGCCUCUUUGAGGAUUUCUUCCUUCAACUCCUUAUCGUUUGGCACGCAUACCCGACCAUUCACCACAAUCGUACCAUUGUUAGACGUUUGGUAUUCCGUCUUAUCGUUCCUUGCCCAAUCGUUUAUCUCCUUGUCUUUCUCUUGAGCCAAACGAAUUCUACUAAGUAGAUCGGCUUGAUCGGCCGCACCUAAUCCCAAUGGCUCAUAAUCCUUAGACAAUGCAUUUAAAUGCAAAGUUCCCAUCAUGUUGACCAAAGCCUCUUGGUUUUUCUCCGCUUCUACUUCAAAACGUCUCCUACUUAAGGCAUCCGCAACUUGAUUUGCUUUCCCCGGGUGAUAUGCAAUAUCUAAGUCGUAAUCCGCCACGAAUUCCAUCCACCUUCUUUGCCUUAGAUUUAACUCCGGCUGGGUGAAUAUGUACUUAAGACUCUUGUGGUUGGUGAAGAUUUGGACUUUAGCUCCGUAAAGAUACGAUCGCCAAAUCUUCAAGGCAAACACCACCGCCGCCAUUUCCAAGUCAUGCGUAGGAUAAUUUCCUUUGUGUUUACGCAAUUGCCUUGAAGCAUAAGCGAUUACACUACCUUUUUGCAUCAAUACGCAUCCUAGUCUCGUGAUCGAUGCAUCCGUAUAGACCAGGUAGGGUUCACCUUCUUCCGGUAGCACCAAUACCGGAGCGCUCGUUAGCAUAGCCUUCAAUUCCGAGAAACUUUUCUCACAUUCCUCCGACCAUUGAAACUUUGUAUCCUUUCCGGUUAGCCGGGUCAUCGGUUGGGACAUACUCGCAAAGCCCUUAACGAAUCUUCGGUAAUAUCCCGCCAACCCGAGGAAACUUCUUAUCUCAGUGGCAUUCUUCGGUCGUGGCCAAUCCUUAAUAGAUUUUAUCUUCUCCGGAUCGACGGACACUCCUUUAUCCGAAACAAUAUGUCCGAGGAAUCCAAUACUCCUUUGCCAAAACGAGCACUUGCUUAAUUUUGCAAAUAACUCGUGCUUUCUCAACCGUUCUAACACCGCCCUUAGAUGAUCUUGAUGGGAUUCCCAAUCCUUAGAAUAAACAAGAAUAUCAUCGAUGAAGAUGAUCACAAACUCGUCUAAAAAUUCCUGGAAAACACCAUUCAUCAUCUUCAUAAAGGCUGCCUGUGCAUUGGUUAGUCCAAAUGGCAUGACCACAAAUUCGUAAUGGCCAUACCUUGUCCGAAACGCCGUUUUCCGAAUAUCCAGCGGAUCUAUCGGAAUUUGGUGGUAUCCCGAGGCCAAGUCUAUCUUUGAAAACCACUUGGCACCUCGAAGUUGAUCCAACAACUCAUCUAUCCGGGGUAAUGGAUACUUGUUUUUCACCGUAACUCUAUUCAAUCCCCGAUAGUCAAUGCAUAGCCUAAAGCUACCAUCCUUUUUCUUUACGAACAAGACCGGUGCACCCCAUGGUGAACUACUCGGUCUAAUGAAUCCUUUAUCCAACAACUCUUCCAAUUGUUUCUUUAGCUCCGCCAUUUCCACCAGUGCCAUCCGGUACGGAGCUUUAGAUAUAGGAGUUGUUCCUGGUUCGAGUUCAAUAGUGAAUGGAUCGGACCGGUCCGGUGGUAAACCACUCACGGCCUCAAACACAUCCGAGAACUCGUUUGCGAUCGGAAUGUCUUUCAACUCCGCACUCACCCCAACUUCGUGGGUUGUGAUUGUUGCUAUGUAUGCCUCACACCCUUUCUCUAGCAUCCUUUCCGCUUGGAUUGCCGAGAUUACCAAACUUCCCGAAGUUGUCCUUAUUCCUUGGAAUUUUAACAUUCCUUCCUCCCUCUCGAAUUGAAUCCGUCCUCGAUGACAAUCAAUAUGUGCCUUAUACUUUCCCAACCAAUCCAUACCCAAGAUAACAUCGUGUUUCUUGAGUUGAACAACGAUUAGGUCUGUAGGCAUAUUGACACCGUUAACUACAACCGAGAUGUCCCGAACAAUACCGGACGGGUACAUUGCUUGCCCGCCGGCUGCUCUAACCAUUUCAUAUUCGGUGUUCCGUUCUUUAAUGAACCCACCCUUUUUAACCAUCUCGGAACUCACAAAACAAUGUGUAGCUCCGGAAUCAAAUAAAGUGUGUGUUUCCACAUCACCUAUACUCAAGGUCCCUACACAUUUCCCUAUAGUGCUAAGUACCUAAUCCGUUUAUGCACGAUGAAAUGCAAUGCACGAAUUAAAAUAAAAAGCACAAAGGCUUACCAGUGAUCGCCCUGAAGUUCCCAGCGUUGUUUGCUUCCUCCGACAAUUCGUAAACGCGCGGUGCUAUAGCCUGCCUCUUGGGCGGAGGCAGUAACCCAUUUCCGCUACGGUUUACCCUUUGUCCAGCUUGUCUUUCCGCUUCCAGCUUUGGACAUUCUCUCUUGAAGUGUCCCGCUUUCCCACAGUAGAAGCAAGUCCUUUGCUCAUUCACACUCUCUUUCGGAGUUCCUUGUUCCAUCCGUGGACAGUUUUGGAUACUAUGAUCCUUACUCCCACAACGCACACAUGCACCAACAGCCCUCCAGCAAGUUCCGCUGUGAUUCUUCCCACAAGUAGCGCACUCUCCGCGCUUAGUAUCCGAUUUGGUGUCCUCCACCUUAUCAAAUUUCCUCUUCUUUUCCAUCGGUUUCGUUGGCUGCGAAGGACGCGACAAAAACUUCUCCGGUUUCAUCCGUUUCUCCUCCUCAAGCCCAGCUUCGAUCAUGGCUGCCCUCUCAACCAAUUCGGACACCGAAGUAAAGGUUCGAAUCAAGCAAUGGUUACGGAUCUCGAUCCUUAGUCCUCAGAUGAAACGACGAACUUGAGCUUGUUCAUCCUCGAGUUCUCUCCCCACAUAUCGCCUAAGACGAUUGAACUCUUCGUCAUACUCGCGCACCGUUCGGUUCCCUUGAACCAAAUCCAAGUAGGCGCACUCGAGUCUGUCCCAAGCCUCCGGUGGGAAGAACUUCUUGUUGAAUUCUUCCUCAAAAUCUGCGAAGGAUUGGAUUUAAUCACCUUUCCGUUUCUCGACGGUUAGCCACCAGUUAUGUGCAUCGCCCUCCAAGAAGUGGAUCGCAAUGUCCUUCCGGUAAUCCUCCGGGCAUCGAGUGGAGUUAAAGUUUCUUUUGAGCCGAGUCCUCCACUCAUCCGCCACGAUCGGGUCGGAACUCCCCGUGAAAUGCUUUGUUCCCAACUUCGAGACGUGCGCGAGUAAACUUAAGUAGUCUCCCCGCUUCCUUGAAGAGUUCGUAGGCAGAUUGACUUCAACAGUCUCCACAUCUACGUCCGCAUCCGCGUCCGUUUUGUUCUCCUUCACUUGUACCACAGGAUCCGGUACGAGUGCCUUAGUCAAUGCGGCCAUUUGUGCCAUCAUUGCCUUCAUCGUAUCCCAUUGUUCUUGGGCCGAUGGAAGUGCAUUCGGUGCCUCUUUUUCCUCCGUUACAUCACUACUCUCCGGAGUUUCGUGAACCAGAAGUUUCUGUCCAGCCUCAGGUCCGGCCGGGUUUAUUCCAUCCAUCGUUGCUUCGACCCUUGUUUCCUCAGUGACCCGCGUCUCCUCGGCGGUCAAGGUCUCCUCAACGACGUCCUUAUCCUUCUUACUCUUUCCCUUCUUGUCUUUCUUACCCAUCUGCGAAAACUCACAAGUUAGUCAUAUAACUCAAAGUAAUCGUUUAGAGAGAAAGAACAUCUACCGCGAGAUCUCAUUAAGCCGAUGAGUGGUGAUCCCCAAACCCAAAACUCAUAGUCCUAGAACCGUAAAUGCUCUGAUACCAACUUGAAAGACCCCAACCCGGACUCCCUAAGCCCGGAGAGGUUCUUCCCGAACGGAUCACUAAGUGGUCCGAUCCUUAGCCAAAUUUUAGGGUUCAUUCCUUAAGACAAUCCGUUUCAUAUUAUUCCGCGAUUCAUUAUUUAGAGUCAUUAUGCAACCUUAGAGUAAAACAAACGAUCGGAUACUUUAUUAGAUAAGUAAAGGAUUCGAUACAACUUAUGAGUUUGCAUAUAAGCUAUUACAACUCAUAUAAUCGAUCCUAUUCUACCCGAUUCACCACCACCCAUCUUCCCGACCAUGAGUCUCUCGCGCCUAAGCCAUAUCCUUCCCACGAUCACCAUCCUUCCCUAAAACCAACAAGACAUAAGUACUCGUCUUUUACUUAGUGGAUGCAAGUCCAUGCAAUGCACUAUACGUUCUUAUAAUCCUUUGGUCCGGAAAACGGAUCGGAGAGAGGAAGUAAGCGCAUCAGUUCGGCCUAGAACCGGUAGAUCCUCGCGGAUCCGCCGAUUCCUUGCCGAGCCGCCUCCCCGUCUCAACCAAACCGUUACUCCUCACAAAGUAUGCACGAUAUGAAUAUGCUCAUGAAUGACUAGGCCGAUCAACGAACUAAUCAAACAACCCACAAUAUUCUAGCCCUUAUACCAUCCGCACGUCCGGAGAUCGUAAUCUCCGAGGCAUUACCACGGCUUUACACCCACCUUGACUACACGGAUUCGAUCGGUGAAUGAUCCGUGUUGCCUCUCUCGAUCGCCGAUAGAACGCUCGGCUCCGCAAACUCUCCUUUUAACCGUAUUCCUCUCGGCAAAUGCCUUAGAGUUUCCUCUGGAUUUUAGGUGUUUGCGCGUGUCGUGAAAAUGAAGGAAUCGCCUUCUAUUUAUAGUUUUUACGAUUAAAACCGUUUUUCCCCAUAGGUGCCCGUUCGGUGGAACACGCUUGUUCGCAUAGGUUCGUUGAAAUCGCUCAUUCAUGCAUCUUUGACCAACCGUUCGUUCGCGUCUAUUCGGCCGUUAUAUGUAACCGUCAACCCAACCGCCUUACUACCUUCCCACCCGACCAGCUGACCUAGCUAGACUGUCACUCAACCAGCUGACCUUCACUCCGUCCAGCUUAGGUGAGCUACCGAGCAGCUGGUCCAGCUAGUCGAGCUGGUUAGCUUCAACACUUCCAGCUCGUUUCAGCUUGUCACGCACUUUGGAAGCCACUCUAUCCGCUUCCUUUGGACUUAGCCCGAGAUUCCGCUUUUCCCUCGAACCAAGUCUUCCCCGGCGAUCCUAUUGAGGAUCGCGGGUGUUACAGGAAGCCAUGUGAUGGUCGGAGAUGCGGAGGGUGAAGUUUAAGAUAUCGCAGUCUAGGGUUUGAGAGUGGUUUGGUCGGAGAUGUCGAGGAUGAAGGGUGAGAAUAGGGUUUUUUUUUCUUAAGUGUCGAGGAUGAAGAGUAAUAGAGAGUGGGCUUUUCAUUUAACUGAGAAUAUUUGGUGUGUAUAGGGUAGGAUCGACUUUGUUUCAACCUAAUAAUUAAGUGUAUUGGUCGCUCUUUAGUCGCAAACUAGUGACAAACCAAAAAAAAUGGGGGGAAUCGAAACCGCCCAAACACUUAGCCAAAAUCAUAGAAAUUUCACAAAUCGUAGCUAAAUGGUCGCUAUAUUGGUCGGUAAAUAGUCAGAAGAUACGUCCCAAAACAGUCGCUAAAUGGACAGGGGUCCCAAACUAGUCCCAAUUUAGCGAGUCAUUUGUGACUGUUUUAUAUUAGUCACAAGACAAAAUUUAGAAAUCUUCACAUUGUGAUAAAAAAUGGUGAUAUAUAUCACCCACAAACACUCAUAUUAGUGGUAUAGAGGAUAUAAAAGUGUUUUAGGUAGAAAAACUUUGCUAAACUCAAGUAAUAUAGAUAUUUUACUAAAUCCCUAAACAUUAAUCAUAUGAGUAAUGUAAAAGUAUAAAUAGAUUUGGUACUUGUGAAUGUUUUGUUAGUAAACAUCAAAAUUUAUGAUCUUGGUUGAGUUCUUAUUACUAAGUUCGACCAAACACUUAGCAAAAAUCUUAGAAAUUUCACAAUUAGUAUCAAAAUAGUCGCAACAUUGGUCGGCAAAUAGUUACAAUAUUUGUCGCAAAAUAGUCGCUAAAUGAACAAUAGUUAGAAAAUGGUGGCACUUUUGCGACUGUUAUCUAUUAGUCACAAGACAAAAUUUAGAAAUCUACACAUUGUGAUCCAAAAGGGUGAUAUAUAUCACUCACAAACACUCAUAUUAGUGUUAUAGAGGACAUAUAUUAGUUUAAGGUUGAAAAACUUUGCAAAACCCAAGUAAUAUAGAUAUUUUACUAAAUCUCUAAACAUUACUCAUAAGAGUAAUGUAACAAGACAAAGAGAUUUGGUAGUUUUGAAUGUUUUGUUUGUAAACAUCAAUAUAUAUGACUUUGGUUUUGUUUUUAUUACUAAGUAACAUCAAACUAGUGUAGAAUUGUUUAACUUUAUAUGUAAACAAAUUUAAAAUGUGAAAUUUGUAAAACCAAAAAUCGAUAGUUGGUAAAUAGUCGCAAGCCGGUCGCUUUCUCAGGUGUCAGUCGCAAAAUCUUCAGGUGCUAGUCGCAAACCGGUCGCUUUCUCUGCAUUUCAACGUGUUUUGAGGCAACUCUUUCUAACUAAUUUGCAACUAAAGUGUAACUAUAACAGGUGGUUGUUAACUAGUCGCUCUUUUGAGACUCAAUUGCGACGAGCAUUUGAGACCAAAAGUUGAGUCGCACAUCAGUCGCAUAUCAGCCACCCAUUUGCGACUAUAAUAAAUUAGUAUGUAAUUGGUUUUAAAAUCGUCGCAAAUUAACGACUAAGUAAAGACUAUUUGUUUUAGUCGCAGAAUAACGACUAUAUUCCAUCUGUAAAUAUUGUGGUCGCUAAAUGGUCGUUAAGAAGUCACAAAAUAGUCGCAAAUAUUUGCGACUAAUAAUUCGGUCGCAAAGUUUAGUUGCAAAACGCAGGUUUUCUUGUAGAGCUUAAAAGAGAGAAAGAGGAUGGAGAAGAUAGAAAUUAGGUUUUGAUUUUUAAUUUGAGCUUAUUCUUAUUUUUUGGCUAAGUGUUGGCGGUCUGGGCAAAUGUUUCGUUAAAUAUUGGUGGUCCUAAGUGAUUUUAGUUUCGGCUAUGUUAUUAUAGGGUUUAGCGUUUCUGAAAUGCUAUAAUAUUGUUACCAAAAUUCAAGUAUCAUCUUUAAUAUCAGUUACUAAAAAUACGCGAUCGUAAUGUGCUAUCAAUACUCAUAUUUUUUUAGUACUACGUUUUUAGCAUAUUUCAUUUCAUUUUCCUUGGUUAAAAUUUCUUGUUUUAUAUUCAUCAUAAAGGGACUAAUACAUAAGAUAAAAGAACAGAGGUUGCAUACAUUCCCUUGGGCUAAACAGAUCAAAUUUAAAAUAUUGAGUACCUUGGAACCAUAAACCCAAAGUAUUAGUGGAACGCGGGAUUUGACGUCUCGCGUAACAAGUGUCAUGAACACGCAGGUCAAUCGUUUUGAACAGUUGUUGAACACGCCCGUAGACUCUUGUUGUUGAACAUCCUCUCUCGCCCAAUUGCUACUUGAUGGAGAGUGAUGACGGAUUUGUUUUGUCCCUGAGAACGGAGACAUAAAAGGAAGUUUUCCCAGCUUGAGAACCCCAUAAAGUGAAAACCGAGCCCUUGACCUUCUUAUGUAUGUCGAAAAUAAACAAAUAUUUAUUCCCGUGACCUUCUUAAAUAGAUACACCAAAGAGAAGAAAACAAACUUAAAGAUCUUCGUGCGAUUAUAGAUUCGACAUUGUGUUCUAUCGUGGUUUCAUUCUUGUUCGUGAGCGUGAUAUUCGUGCAGGUGUUUUGAAGAAAGUUAGGCUUCGGGAAUUAACUUACCCUUAUUUUUAUCUUCAAGAGUUCAUGUAAUACAAAAGAAUGGUAGACUAAAAGAACGGUUCUUCAUUUAAAAUAAUAGGAAUGCGUCGUAAUUGCUUUUCGUUUGAGUGUUUGAAUCUAUACCAGAAUUAGGUCAAUGAGUAGGUAGGAAAACAAAACCUCCUUAAGUUAAAAAACUUGAGGAUUUGAAAUUGUAAUGAAUUAAAAUAAUCCAUGCAAUUUAGGUAUGCAAUUCAUAUACAAGACUCAUGUAAGGUCAAUGAUACGAACUACAAAAUUUAAUUUUGCAAAGGACUUCAUAUAGAUUGCAAGCAACCUUUACAUAAAGAAAAGAAAAAGCAUAAAACCAUGAGAACAUUUUGUAGCAAAAUGUUUAAUCCAAUAGCAAGAAAAUUAAAAUUUAUUAGAUAUGAAUAGCAUCAAGAACAAAAGCAAAUAUGAAAUGAAAUAAAACUCGGCAGCUUAUAUAAGAAUCUCAUUACAAUUUCGGGCAAUACGAAGGUGGAGAUGAAGCUUAGUACUCAGUUUUUGGAGAAGGUGAGUACGAUGGUGGUGGUGGAGAACUGUAGACAUAUGGUGGUGGAGGAGAUUUGUAGUCUACCUUAGGUGAAGGUGAGUAGUAUGGUGGUGGUGGUGAGCUGUAGACAUAUGGUGGUGGAGGUGAUUUGUAGUCAACCUUAGGGGAAGGUGAGUAGUAUGGUGGAGGAGGUGAACUGUAAACGUAUGGUGGUGGAGGUGAUUUGUAAUCAACCUUAGGGGAAGGUGAGUAGUAUGGUGGAGGAGGAGAACUGUAGACGUACGGUGGUGGUGGUGAUUUGUAGUCAAUCUUAGGAGAAGGUGAGUAGUAUGGUGGAGGAGGUGAACUGUAGACGUACGGUGGUGGAGGAGAUUUGUACUCUACCUUAGGGGCAGGUGAGUAGUAUGGUGGUGGUGGUGAACUGUAGACGUACGGUGGUGGAGGAGAUUUGUACUCUACCUUAGGCGCAGGUGAGUAGUAUGG